GCACGUCUAGCUCACCGGCAGAGCGCUCGCUCGACACGCGGGAGGUACGGGGAUCGACACCCCGGUCGUGCA
rnacentral:tRNA from 1 species